CCUACGGGUGGCAGCAGUGAGGAAUAUUGGUCAAUGGCCGGAAGGCUGAACCAGCCAUGCCGCGUGAAGGUCAGUGCCCUAUGGGCGUUAAACUUCUUUUGUGCGGGAGCAAUAAUGGUCACGUGUGGCCAGACGAGAGUACCGUACGAAUAAGCCUCGGCUAAAUCCGGGCCAGCAGGCGCGGUAAUACGGGGGAUGCAAGCGUUAUCCGGAUUUAUUGGGUUUAAAGGGUGCGUAGGCUGUGAGGUAAGUAGGCGGGGAAAUGCCCCCGCUCAACGGGGUGAAGUGCCAUUGAUACUGCCUUGCUGGAAUGCGGAUGACGUAGGCGGAAUGUGUGGUGUAGCGGUGAAAUGCAUAGAUAUCACACAGAACACCGAUUGCGAAGGCAUCUCACGAAUCCGCGAUUGACGCUGAUGCACGAAAGCGUGGGUAUCAAACAGGAUUAGAUACCCGAGUAGUC
rnacentral:rRNA from 1 species